UACGUAGGGUGCAAGCGUUAAUCGGAAUUACUGGGCGUAAAGCGUGCGCAGGCGGUUAUGUAAGACAGGUGUGAAAUCCCCGGGCUUAACCUGGGAACUGCAUUUGUGACUGCAUCGCUGGAGUGCGGCAGAGGGGGAUGGAAUUCCGCGUGUAGCAGUGAAAUGCGUAGAUAUGCGGAGGAACACCGAUGGCGAAGGCAAUCCCCUGGGCCUGCACUGACGCUCAUGCACGAAAGCGUGGGGAGCGAACAGG
rnacentral:rRNA from 1 species